rnacentral:rRNA from 1 species
UGGCUCAGAACGAACGCUGGCGGCAGGCCUAACACAUGCAAGUCGAGCGGUAGCACAGAGAGCUUGCUCUCGGGUGACGAGCGGCGGACGGGUGAGUAAUGUCUGGGAAACUGCCUGAUGGAGGGGGAUAACUACUGGAAACGGUAGCUAAUACCGCAUAACGUCGCAAGACCAAAGUGGGGGACCUUCGGGCCUCAUGCCAUCAGAUGUGCCCAGAUGGGAUUAGCUGGUAGGUGGGGUAACGGCUCACCUAGGCGACGAUCCCUAGCUGGUCUGAGAGGAUGACCAGCCACACUGGAACUGAGACACGGUCCAGACUCCUACGGGAGGCAGCAGUGGGGAAUAUUGCACAAUGGGCGCAAGCCUGAUGCAGCCAUGCCGCGUGUGUGAAGAAGGCCUUCGGGUUGUAAAGCACUUUCAGCGGGGAGGAAGGCGGUGAGGUUAAUAACCUCACCGAUUGACGUUACCCGCAGAAGAAGCACCGGCUAACUCCGUGCCAGCAGCCGCGGUAAUACGGAGGGUGCAAGCGUUAAUCGGAAUUACUGGGCGUAAAGCGCACGCAGGCGGUCUGUCAAGUCGGAUGUGAAAUCCCCGGGCUCAACCUGGGAACUGCAUUCGAAACUGGCAGGCUAGAGUCUUGUAGAGGGGGGUAGAAUUCCAGGUGUAGCGGUGAAAUGCGUAGAGAUCUGGAGGAAUACCGGUGGCGAAGGCGGCCCCCUGGACAAAGACUGACGCUCAGGUGCGAAAGCGUGGGGAGCAAACAGGAUUAGAUACCCUGGUAGUCCACGCUGUAAACGAUGUCGAUUUGGAGGUUGUGCCCUUGAGGCGUGGCUUCCGGAGCUAACGCGUUAAAUCGACCGCCUGGGGAGUACGGCCGCAAGGUUAAAACUCAAAUGAAUUGACGGGGGCCCGCACAAGCGGUGGAGCAUGUGGUUUAAUUCGAUGCAACGCGAAGAACCUUACCUGGUCUUGACAUCCACAGAACUUUCCAGAGAUGGAUUGGUGCCUUCGGGAACUGUGAGACAGGUGCUGCAUGGCUGUCGUCAGCUCGUGUUGUGAAAUGUUGGGUUAAGUCCCGCAACGAGCGCAACCCUUAUCCUUUGUUGCCAGCGGUUAGGCCGGGAACUCAAAGGAGACUGCCAGUGAUAAACUGGAGGAAGGUGGGGAUGACGUCAAGUCAUCAUGGCCCUUACGACCAGGGCUACACACGUGCUACAAUGGCAUAUACAAAGAGAAGCGACCUCGCGAGAGCAAGCGGACCUCAUAAAGUAUGUCGUAGUCCGGAUUGGAGUCUGCAACUCGACUCCAUGAAGUCGGAAUCGCUAGUAAUCGUAGAUCAGAAUGCUACGGUGAAUACGUUCCCGGGCCUUGUACACACCGCCGUCACACCAUGGGA